CUGCAAAGCGCCUCUCGUUGGGGGCGGAGGGGAAUCCAGGGGCAGCUUGGGCUGGGGCCGGGCGCGCUCUGCUCGCCCUGACCAUUAUGCCAGUGGCGUGGCAUGGCCCCCCCGAGCGCGGCUGCAGCGCGUUGAUCCUUCAGGUUCUGACGCGUGAUGAAUGGGGUUUGCACACGGCUGUGUGAGAUGUGCCGUCCUUCUUUGUUACGACGGGGCACAGUACCCAUCUGACCGGAACCUGGGGGACGCGAGCAUUACGGGGUAAUGGGGGUUGUUUCAGGAGGUGUAAAGACACUACAUUGUGAGUUAUAGGGGGUGGGGUUAUGUGCACGUAUUUGUUGCGUUUUGGUUGUUUCUUUUUAGGGAUGAUUGCAGACUGCAAAUCGAUCCCCCUGAAUACAGCUGAGUUUGGAAAAUACAUAAAGGCUCCCAGAGAACAAAGAUGGAAUACAGAGCUGCUACUGGAAGAGCUGGGAUAGAGGCACAGAUGUUAUGUCUCUGCAAUUUAUCCAUCAGCCACUAAACUCUGCUUUUACUAGCCUGAGAGAAAGGGCCCAAGAAACACUUAGGGACUCAAAACUAAAGAAGCAUGUGUCAGGCUUUAAUUGCAUGGCUCAGGGAAACAGUUCUACCUGAGAAAUAAUACGAUAUUGUGUCUCUCUGGAUGGCAGGUGAGAUGUCCCUGUAGACUUCCAUUCUUCUCAUGCUGUGGCUAUAUUUGUGUAUGUGUGUCAUGAGCAGAUGACAUAUGCAAGCUCAUGAAUUGCAAGACUUAAACAUCCUUUGGUGGGGCUGGAAAUAAGUAGUUGUGCUUUACCACUAAGGAUCAGGAAGAAAACAGUUUUUCACCUUGUGGUCUGAAGAAUGAGGAUUAAUAACCCAUGCAUUUUUGUCCCUCCCACUGUCACUGCAGCUUAAGAACAUAAGAGCAACCAGACCAAAGGUCCAUCUAGCCCAGUAUCCUGUCUUCUGACAGUGGCCAAUGCCAGGUGCCCCAGAGGGAAUGAACAGAACAGGUAAUCAUCAAGUGAUCCAUCCCCUGUUACCCAUUCCCAGCUUCUGGCAAACAGAGGCGAGGGACACCAUCCCUGCCC
rnacentral:lncRNA from 1 species